AGCAGUAGCCGCGGUAAUACGAAGGGUGCAAGCGUUAAUCGGAAUUACUGGGCGUAAAGCGUGCGUAGGCGGUGAGUUAAGUCUGCUGUGAAAUCCCCGGGCUCAACCUGGGAAUGGCAGUGGAUACUGGCUCGCUAGAGUGUGUCAGAGGAUGGUGGAAUUCCCGGUGUAGCGGUGAAAUGCGUAGGGAUCGGGAGGAACAUCAGUGGCGAAGGCGGCCAUCUGGGACAACACUGACGCUGAGGCACGAAAGCGUGGGGAGCAAACAGGAUUAGAUACCCCGGUAGUCCCUGUCUCUUAUAC
rnacentral:rRNA from 1 species